rnacentral:rRNA from 1 species
GUAUAGAGGGUGAAUUCUGCCCAAUGGUUGUAUAGUGAAACUGAGGACUAACGUCUAAAGCGAAACCCAACUGAAUGGCCGCGGUAACUCUGACCGUGAUAAUGUAGCACAAUAAAUAGCCAAUUAAUUGUUGGCGGGUAUGAAUGGAACCACGAGGGUCUUACUGUCUCAAGAGGAAAGCCGAUGAAAUUAUAGUUGUAGUGAAGAUACUACAUAAACAUUGUAAGACGAAAAGACCCUAUCGAGCUUUACUGGAUACCGAUAGCGUUAAUUUAGAAUGAUCAAUACUUAGUAUCCUAAUUCUGAGUUAAUAAUUUUUGUUGGUAGGACAGUUUAGUUGGGGCGACUACCUUUGAAUAAGAAACGAAGGCGAGCUUAUGGUAUUAUUGAAAUCUCAUUAGCCUCACAGUGAGGGGGACACCCCUAGCUGGCACAAGGAACACAUAAUAAUGGGCUCCUAUGUGGGCGAUAGUGACCCGAUAUGAUUAUCCAAAAUAAAUAUCGAAAGCGGAUAAAAGCUACCGUAGGGAUAACAGCGUAAUAUUGUCGGAGAGUUCUUAUCGAGGACAGUGUUUGCGACCUCGAUGUUGAAUUGCGGUGCCCUGGUGCUGUAGAAGGUACCUCAGGUUGGUC